AUACUUACCUGGCGGGGAAUACCAUGAUCACGAAGGUGGUUCACCCAGGGCGAGGCUCGGCCAUUGCACUUGGGGUCAUGCUGCCCCUGCGAUUCCCCAAAUGGGGGAAUCGACCGCAUAAUUUCUGUUAUUGGGGGCCCUGCGUUCGCGCUCCCCCUGA